rnacentral:rRNA from 1 species
CCUACGGGUGGCAGCAGUGAGGAAUAUUGGUCAAUGGACGCAAGUCUGAACCAGCCAUGCCGCGUGCAGGAAGACGGCUCUAUGAGUUGUAAACUGCUUUUGUACGAGGGUAAAUCCCGAUACGUGUAUCGGGUUGAAAGUAUCGUACGAAUAAGGAUCGGCUAACUCCGUGCCAGCAGCCGCGGUAAUACGGAGGAUUCCAGCGUUAACCGGAUUUAUUGGGUUUAACUGGUUCGUAGGCGGGUCGAUAAGUUAGAGGUGAAAUCCCGGGGCUUAGCUCCGGCACUGCCUCGGAUACUGGCGGGCUAGAGUUUAGUUGAGGUAGGCGGAAUGUAUGGUGUAGCGGUGAAAUGCAUAGAGAUCAUACAGAACACCGAUUGCGAAGGCAGCUUACCAAACUACGACUGACGUUGAGGCACGAAAGCGUGGGGAGCAAACAGGAUUAGAUACCCUUGUAGUC